UACGUAGGUGGCAAGCGUUAUCCGGAUUUACUGGGUGUAAAGGGCGUGUAGGCGGGAAAGCAAGUCAGAUGUGAAAACCACGGGCUCAAGCUGUGGCCUGCAUUUGAAACUGUUUUUCUUGAGUACUGGAGAGGCAGACGGAAUUCCUAGUGUAGCGGUGAAAUGCGUAGAUAUUAGGAGGAACACCAGUGGCGAAGGCGGUCUGCUGGACAGCAACUGACGCUGAGGCGCGAAAGCGUGGGGAGCAAACAGG
rnacentral:rRNA from 1 species